rnacentral:rRNA from 1 species
UAGGGAAUAUUGCACAAUGGAGGAAACUCUGAUGCAGCGACGCCGCGUGAGUGAUGAAGGACUUCGGUUCGUAAAGCUCUGUUGCAGGGGAAUAAGACAGUGAAUGUACUCUGCGAGAAAGGGUCGGCUAACUUCGUGCCAGCAGCCGCGGUAAGACGAGGGACCCGAGCGUUGUUCGGAAUCAUUGGGCGUAAAGCGGGUGUAGGUGGCUUUGUAAGUCAGGCGUGAAAGCCCGGGGCUUAACCUCGGAAGUGCGCUUGAUACUGCGAAGCUUGAGUGCUGGAGAGGCUACUAGAAUUCCUGGUGUAGUGGUGAAAUACGUAGAUAUCAGGAGGAAUACCGGUGGCGAAGGCGGGUAGCUGGCCAGACACUGACACUCAGACCCGAAAGCGUGGGGAUCAAACAGGAUUAGAUACCCCUGUAGUCC